CUGAGGUAUGCUCGGUGCCGCGCAAGCGCUCCGGUUACCCGCCCAUAUGUCAUCUGUGCUGGGACCCCGUCCUCCUGGCCUUCGGGUUGGGGGGAAAAGGGAGAACAGGAACAACAUUUCGGUCGAUGUGUUUUGGUUGUACGCCUGAGAAGGAGUACGAUUUUAAACCGCGGCCGGCCGUAAUUUACACUCUUGUGAGAACAUGAAGUCUGAAACAGAUUGAAAAAUUAUACA
rnacentral:misc_RNA from 1 species